rfam:Toxocara canis scaffold1189, whole genome shotgun sequence.
GCGACAGUAGCUCACUGGUAGAGCCCCCUCUUCGCAUGUGGGGAGACCCGGGUUCGACUCCCGGCUGCUUCC